ensembl:lincRNA
GUGGGCUGAGCAGACAGUGACCUCCUCACAGGUCCGGGAGCACCAGCAAACGGCAGCCUCUGAGAGGCCUGAGGCACAAUGGAGAAAGGAAAGGGAGUGUCCAGAAAAGGCCGGAAGCUGGCAUCCAGCCGGCGGAGGCAGGCACGAGAGCCAGCUGACGGUCAGGAUGCCCCUGUGGCCCUGGAGACUGAGUCCUGGCCCUCUGAUGCUGAUGCGGAGCUUCAGGGCUUCUUCCAGGACUGUGGAGCCAAGGAGAGGGGCUUUGUUACCCGGGAGGAUCUGGCGAAAAUGUCUUUGGCUCCAGCCCUGGUACCCAUAGACUCCGCACAAAGCGGUCAUUGCCCUCU